GGCGAACGCUGGCGGCAGGCUUAACACAUGCAAGUCGAACGCCCCGCAAGGGGAGUGGCAGACGGGUGAGUAACACGUGGGAACGUACCCUUUGGUUCGGAAUAACUUGGGGAAACUCAAGCUAAUACCGGAUAAGCGCUUAUGGGGAAAGGUUUACUGCCGAAGGAUCGGCCCGCGUCUGAUUAGCUAGUUGGUGAGGUAAUGGCUCACCAAGGCGACGAUCAGUAGCUGGUCUGAGAGGAUGAUCAGCCACACUGGGACUGAGACACGGCCCAGACUCCUACGGGAGGCAGCAGUGGGGAAUAUUGGACAAUGGGGGCAACCCUGAUCCAGCCAUGCCGCGUGAGUGAUGAAGGCCUUAGGGUUGUAAAGCUCUUUUACCCGGGACGAUAAUGACUGUACCGGGAGAAUAAGCCCCGGCUAACUUCGUGCCAGCCGCCGCAGUAA
rnacentral:rRNA from 1 species